AUUAAAAAUUAUAUUUAUGCAAUUUAAAAUCUUGAAUUUGGAAAAAGCUUAACAUGAAAAGCUUUUAAAUUUGCUAACGAGUAGCGUGCUUUUUACUAACGAAUGCAGCGCUUGCUGACAAGUAAUGUUAUUAUAGUGUUGUUGUUACAGUGGAGUGCUUUUGGAGCUUUUGAAGAGUCUAAAAUUAGGAAAUAUAAACGAACUUUGACAUUUGCAGGAUUUAAGCACCUGUUUUCAUUAAAAAUUAUAUUUAUGUAAUUAUGUGCUUGAGAACUGAUAAUUAUUGUUUGAGCUAGUGGUGCCUAAAAGUAUGCAAUAUUUUUUUGAAUUCGAUUGUGUUUUUUCGAAAUCCAGUAAUAUCUAGUUUUAAGUUUCUCUUUUACCGAAUUUCAGAAUUUGCCACAUGACAACAAUCUCAGCAUCGGCGUCUAAGGUCUCUACAAAGUCAUUACAUCACUAAAAUACUGAAAUUAAGCGCUUAAAAGUAGGCAAAAGAUUUUAAAUUCCAAUAUUUCACCGAAAAAUAUCAUUCAUUCUCUGAUUCAAACUAAAAAUAUAAAAAUUAAACGAACGAAGCCUUAAAAUAGACACCUGAAAGUAUGCUAAAUAAACGAGUGACGUAAAAGAUAUUCUAAAAUUAUUGUACUAUCGCAAUUUUCUAAAAAGUCGUCAAAUGCGCAAGUUCUUAAUUCAUGAGACAACUAAAAGUAUGCAAGAAUUUUAAAAAUACAUUUAUAAUUAAUAUUUUUAAUGUUAUAUGAAGCCGUGUUGACCAUCUUUUAAAUGAUAAGUAUAAAUUUUAUGUUCUUCAUCAAUUCAAAGUAGAAUGUACUUAACAAUUUAUUAACGUUCAUAAAUUUUUAUUUCGAAAUAAAAAGGUAAAGCGCCUACAUGUAUGUCUCUUCGAAAGUUUUCUGCGAUUUAUCGAUUUGCAAUUAUCUAUUGCGGUUUAUAAUUAUUAUAGUUCGCCAGCAAAUGGAAUUAAGCUUCAAUGCAUUAUUACAACACGCCUAAAAUUAUGCAAAGCUACAGCUUUUCACAUAAUAUUAACGCAGAUAGCGACAGUUUCUGUCAUUAAAAUCAUUUCUCUGCACAAAUCUAGCGAUUAUAAGCAGUUAUUCGAGAGAAAAUUAUAUACGUACAUACAUACAUAUGUAUAUUAGGAUGAGCCAAAAAAAACCUGUCAAAUACAUCAGUUAAAUUAAACUUAUAUGUGCAUAAGUACAGAGAAAAAAUAUCCGAGGAAGGAAGCUCUUUAAAGCUUUAAAAUAGAUGGUUUUUUGAAUGCAUCGCUUAAUUUGCAGAAAAAAUAUCCCUGCAAGAGAUUUUUAGACUUUUCCAAGCUUAUAAAUGUAGGAACCUACCAAAUUCAGGGGAUAAAAUGAAAUGUAUUUAGAACGAAAAAAAUAUCCCUGAAAGAAAGUUUGUUUUAUUACUUUUAAAAAGCUUUUAAAUAUAAUAUCCUGUGGAAUUUAUGAGUUAAAGCAAAACUAUAAUAAUGGGAAAAAAUAUCCCUGUUAAGAUUUUUUUCAUUUUCCAAAGUUUUUAUGUAUGUAGGUAUAUGGCUUAAUUCAUCGAAUAAAAUGAAUAUAUUCAUAAACAGAAAAAAAUAUCCCUGCAAAGAAUUUCUUUUUACUUUUCAAAGUUUUUAAAUUUUUAAACCAAUCAAAUUGAGGGGAUAAAAUAAAUCUAUACAUAUAUGUAUGUGUACAUAUAUGUACAAAGCGAAACUUAUACCUGUAAGGAAAUUUUUUUUCACUUUUCAAACAUUUUAAACAUAAAAACUUGUCAAAUUAAUGCGUUAAAAUGAACCUACAUAUGUACAUACAUAUAUAGAAAAAAAUGUCACGGCAGAGAAUUUUUUUUUUACCUUUCAAUGCUCAAAUAUAUGAAUUUUUGAAUUCAUGGGUUAAAAAUAACAUCUUGCAAAGAACAUUUUUUCACUUUUUCCGGCUUUUAAAUAAAUAAAGUUGUGAACUUCAUGGGUUUAAAUGAACUCAUAUACAGAAAAAAUAUCCCUGCAGGUACAAUUUUUGUCACUUUUCAAUGAAUUUAUAUAUGUUUAUAAACCUAUCGAAUUCGUGGAUUAAAAUUAACAUAUACAUAUGUAUAUUUCAUAUUGCACGUAUUUGGUUUUUUUUACUUUUCGAAGCUUUUUAAUAUACAAACCUGUCGAAUUCAUAAGAAAAAAUGUAUCUUAAUACAUCGAAAAAAAUAUCCCUCCAAGGGAAAUUUUUUUCCACUAUUCAAAGCUUUAAGUAUACGAAUCUCGAACAAAUGGUUAUGACGUUUUUAAUGAAAACAUUAUUUUUACGUAUUAUUUAUAAGGGAUAUUUUGAAGGCUCACUGACAACGUUACAAUUAAGCUGAAAUAUGUUCCUUGUAGAGCUAUUCUUUCGCUGUACAUAUAUACAAUAUAGGUUCAUUACAACUCAUAAAUUCGAUAUUACUUUUUUUUAGCCCACUCUAAUGUACGUAUGCAUGUCUAUUAGCCUUUCCGCUGGAUUAAAAACAAUUACAAUAACCCUCUAAUGAGACGGUAUUUCAUUGUACGCACAUUUAAAUGAAAGUGACGUUGAGGAGUAAAUCCUUUGAUUUCACAAUAAACGUAAUAAUAAUUCAAAAUAAUUAAUGAAGGGCGCAAACGCACUCACACACACAUACGCUUAGCAUUUUCGCUGACACUCCCACGUGGCAUAAUUAGGUGCAAUACUUAGUGCCACGCAGCAGCCAUUAGCGGCGCAGCUUUGUUUUCGCGUAAAGGAAAUAUGAAAAGGAAAAGCGUGAAAGAUUAAAAGAUUGAAUAAUGUAUGUGUUUGGUUGUGUGAUAUUUGCGAUUGGAUAAAGGGCAUAAGAGAAAAGUAUGUGAAUGACGGCAGCGAAAAAAAUGCUAAUGACAGUUAAUUAAAAAAAGCGUUUCCUUUUUGCAUGACAAAACAAAGGGAACGAAAGGAAACUUUCAAACAAAAGGCGAAGGUGCAAAAUUUGGGUAGCAUGCUUUUAGGCGUAUUAAUGGAUUACACUUAUGCUUUUAAAUUUCAGUGCGCCUGUAGAUAUGUGGUGAUUUCUGAUUUAAAACUUUAAAAACUGUAUAAUGGCACAUAUUGAGCUCUUUUAUAGAGGGUUGAUUAAAGAGUCAAAUUAAGCAGAAAUUGAGAAAAGAAAUAUUAAACUAACUUUCAAAAGCUAUUCAGCUCCAUUUAAACGCGCGAUAAAUAUGAUUUUUUGAAUAUCAAUAUCUUCAUAUAUUUUUUCCAAGCUUUUUAAAUUCAUUGCAAGCUUUCUAAGGUUGCGUGAAAGCUUCUAACAUUAAAGUUUUCUAAGGAUGCGUGAAAGCUUCUAAGCUUACACUAAUGUUUUCUAAGGUUGCAGGAAAGCUGUUAAGCAUACAAAACAGUUUUCUAAGUUUUCACGAAAGCAUCUAAGUAUGCAUAAAAGCUUUUAAACUUGUCAUUAAAGCUUUAAGCAUCUUUUCAUAUUUUGCAAAAGGCAUGAAAACGUAUAAAAAAAUGUGUAACUUUUAGCUGUACGUAGUAGAGGCUUAUAGAUAACUAUGAAUUAGAAAACGUUUAAUAGAUCAAAGCUUUAAAAAAUAAUACCUUUGAAUGCUCUAGGUGGAGCUAAAACUAAAAAGCUUUUUAAUCGAAUUAAGCUUUUAAUAACUUGGAAAGAUUUGAACAAAUUAUUUGUGUGAAAGCUUUAAGUUCAACUGUUAGUCGAAACACAGAAAUAUUGGUAUUUAGAAUAUUGCGCUUUUACUCGAAAGCUCAGAACUAUUGAUGUUUAGAAGCUUAAAGCUUGAUGAAUUUUAAAAUUAGUUUGUUACAAAUGAGUACAUGUGAAAACACGAAUUUUUGCAAGUGUAAGGAUUUAUAAAUGUUAGGCUAACUUCCAUUAUAUUUCAGUAUACUAGAGUGUUGACUAAAGAGUCAAAUUCAGACGGAGUGAACGAAAAUUUAUAUAGCAUAAAAAUUACAAAAAUUUAAGUUUUGUUAGCAACCUCUUAAGAUUUCCACGCACAGUGGAAAAGAGCUUUAAAGCUUUUCAUAUAUUGCAAACAAAAACAUUUUUUUAAUUAUCCUUUUUUUUAUUAUAUGAUAUUAUACGAGAAAGAAGUUCAUGAAUUUGUGGAAAUCGACUAGGUUUUAAAAAAUCAUUUUUCGAAAGCUUUGAAAGCUUUAAAUUUGAAAGCGCAGAAAUAUUGAUAUUUAGAAGCUUAAAAUUUGAUUGAGCUUUCGUUUCUUUUUAAAUUAUUAAGAAAUACUGUGGAAGCUCAAAAUGCAUAAAAAACAUGCUCAAAAGGCUGAACCUUUAUGAUAUGGUAGGAUUCUUCAAUUGACUAAAGAAGAAAAGCUCAAAGUACUUUGAUCCAUUUGUUAUUCAGAAUUCAAGUUUUUUACGAGCUUUCACGUUUCUGAAUUAAUUGCUACAAUAAAAGCUCCAACUACUAUUAUUAGCAUAGAGAGUGUCACAUUUGAAAGCACGAGCUUUCAUAGGAUUAUGUGACAAGUGAAUGCUGUUCAUAAUAAAUAAAUAAAUAGUAAAUAGUAAAUAAUAAAAUGUGCACACAAAAGCUACAUGAACUACUAAAACUUUAAAUAGUUUACAAAAUAGUUAUAAAUAAAGCACUUGUUCAAAACUGUUACUGUAUUAUACACCACAUACUUUUGUACGAAUACUAAAGAAAAUUAUGUAGACUUUUUUAGAAUUGUUAAGUGAGAAAAUUAAUUACUAAUAUUUAAUUCAACCCUUGAAGCUAUGAAGAAAGUUAAUGUUUUAAAACAUUUUCCUACAAGUUGUUAAUAAUCUAACAAAAACGAAGAACAAUGUAAAAUAGGUAUAUAAAAAAAUCCAGAUUAAAUUUAAUAAAAUUAAAAAUCGAAGUAAAAUGCCUUGAACUCUAACCCUUGCCUAAUAAUUUUAAAUUAUAAUGUUUAGCGGAGAAAUUUGUUAUACCUCUGUGCUGUCUAAAAUUAAAAAAAAAUUGUUAGCAGUAGAAAAUUAUUUAAAAAAACUGAGCUUUCAUAUUUCUGCAAAGCUUAUCUGCAGCUUUCACUAAUUUUCUACAUUAAUAUAUGAUUUGUAAAUAUGUGUGCAUGCACUUAAAAACUUCGUAGUCACUUUCAAGCUCGAAAAGUUUCUUAGCGGUUACAUCUUGAGCUUUCACUCGAACUGAUUUUAUUGCAGUUUAUUUUUUAGUUCAUUUUAAAGAAGUAAUCGCUUGAAAUAGUAUUCCUAGUUUUUUAAGUAAGCAGUAGAAAAUAUAUGUAAUGGAAAUAGCUGAGCUUUCACUCACUGAGCUUUCAUACUACAGCUUUCACUAAUUUUACUGAUUAAUACAUAGUUUAAAGUCCAUAUACUAUAUUUAAAAAAUUAUAGUAUUUUUCAACCUCGUCAAGUUACUUAGAUUAGACUUUUGGAGCUUUCACUCGAACAGAUUAUAUUGCAAUUUUUUUAGUUCAUUUAAAGAAGUAAGCGCUUCAAAUAGUAUUCUUAACUUUUUAAGUAAGCAGUAGAAAGUGAAAGUAAUGGAAAUAGCUGAGCUUUCACUCACUGAGCUUUCACACUACAACUUUUUAAUUUUUUAAUUUUACUGUUUAAUAUAUAGCUUAAAAUAUAUAAGCCUUCCUUAAGAAAAAUUUUGCAAGCUCUAAAAGCUACUUAGCGUAUACUUUUUAAACUUUCGCUCGUAAAAAGUUAUGGUAAUUUUUUAACUCAUUCUAGUCGUUUCUUACAUCAUUGUUAAUUUUUAUAUAAUAAAAACAAAAAAAUAUUACAAAAGUAGUAUAAAGCUUUACUGGAAGCUUUAUACCUUAAUAAAAAUAAUGUUGGUGAAAGUUUUCGAAAAUUAUAUGCUCACUGCUUACCGAAAGUAUAAAACUGCAGAUUUUGAACGUAUCAAAAAUUUAGUGAAAGCUCUAUAUGCCAUAAGUUAUUUCAGAUAAUACAGAAAACCUCAGCGACUUUAAGAAGGGUAGACUACUUUAAUGCUAUAGUGCUUUGUUAGAAGUUUAAAAGAUUGCCCAAAAACAGAUAAUUAGUUGAAAGCUCUUACAACAGUGAAACGGUGAAAGUUUAACGCAUGGGUUGUUGCUUGUUUGUUUUUUUUUUUUUUUUUGAAGUUUAAAGCUUACUGCUUAUUGAAAGUAUGAAAUGUAAAUUUUAAUACAAAUAAAAAUACAAUAAAAGCUCUAUAUGCAAUAAGCUUUUGUUGUUUGCUAUUUUGUUUUGCUAUUUCAUGUUCAAAGCCUUGUCAAACCUAUACCCAAGUGUUAAAAAGUAACAAAAACUUAUAAUUGUGAAAUAAAUGAUUUUCAAAAUAUUUUAGGUAUGCACUGCAUAACAAUUGACUACUAAUAUCAUAUAACUAGAUGCAGAAAUAAAUAAUCAAACCAAAUAACGAAUUGAGAGCUUUCACAACAAUGUGGGUGAAAGUAUAACGCAUGCGGUUAUUUGUGAUUUUUUUUAUUUUGUUACUUUAAGCUCAAAGUUUUGUCAAGCCCUUACCUAAGUGUUAAAAAGUAACAAAAAUAUUUAAAUGUGAAAGUUCAAGAAAGUUUUUAUGAUUUUCAAAAGCUUUUGGAGUUUCACUGCAUAACAAUUAACUACUAAUUGCAGGAAUUGAUGCCAUAUGGAGUUGGUAUAAUCCUCAUUAAACAUUUUAUAAAAAAUUAAGCUCUGUUAAAUAAAAUAAAAUAAAAUAUAUUAAAAAAAAAAAAAACAUUGUAAAAAAUUAGCAUUAGUACUAUUACAACUAAAUAAUGAAAACUCAAACCUUGUGAUCCAAAAACUUUCUUCUCUUCCAUGAAAAGAAUUAUUAGUUACCUAAAUACUUGUAUACAAAUACCAACUGUAUAUUGUAGUAUAAAGAAAUUUGUUACUUUUAAUGCUGAAUACGACUAAUUAGUGAAUUUAAUAAAGUAAAAAAUUAACACAAAUAAAUUAUACCGAAUUGAAGUGAUUUGAAAAGUAAUGAAGAGAAACGUCUAACCUACAAAGAAAAACUUGAAAAUUUACAAUUAUUAUAAAAUUAGUAGGCAUAAGCAUAUAUUUAGUGGAGCAUGUUGAGAGUUCGUUUACUACCAAAUACAAAUUAAAUAAUAACAGCAUAUAAUUAAAUAAAUUACGUUUAUAAUUAAUGCAAUAUUAUGAUACUAAUUAGUGCAUUUACUUCCAGGAAUUAAUUAACCAACUAUUCCUAAAUAAUUACGAAAAACAGAAUUGAAAACACUUAAUUAAAGAAUGUAUACCAAAAUGUCAUGUCUGAAAGUGGCAUCAAAUACACUACAAUAGAAAAGUGAGCUGACACUUAUGAUUCGAUACUCAAAAGCGUUCGAUACUUAAUUGAAACUGUAGAAUAUGGUAACUCUUAAAACUGAAUAAUACAAAGAUUAUACAGCACAUUGAAAGAAAUAAUAAAUAAAUAUUAAUACAUGAAAUAA